rnacentral:rRNA from 1 species
GCAGUCGCGAAAACUUCACAAUGGGGGCAACCCCGAUGAGGGAAUUCCUAGUGCUAUCACAAUUGCGUUAGCUUUUCUCUAGCGUAGAUAACUAGAGGAAUAAGGGCUGGGAAAGACGGGUGCCAGCCGCCGCGGUAAUACCUGCAGCCCAAGUGGUGGUCGAUUUUAUUGAGUCUAAAACGUUCGUAGCCGGUUCGAUAAAUCCUUGGUUAAAUUGGGGGGCUUAACCUUCCGUCUUCCGAGGAGACUGUCGAACUUGGGACCGGGAGAGGCUAGAGGUACUUCUGGGGUAGGGGUAAAAUCCUGUAAUCCUAGAAGGACCACCGGUGGCGAAGGCGUCUAGCUAGAACGGAUCCGACGGUGAGGGACGAAGCCCUGGGUCGCAAACGGGAUUAGAUACCCCGGUAGUCCAGGGUGUAAACGCUGCAGACUUGGUGUUGGAAGUCCUUUGGGGGCAUUCAGUGCCGGAGAGAAGUUGUUAAGUCUGCUACUUGGGGAGUACGUCCGCAAGGAUGAAACUUAAAGGAAUUGGCGGGGGAGCACCGCAACGGGAGGAGCGUGCGGUUUAAUUGGAUUCAACACCGUAAAACUCACCAGGGAAGAC